rnacentral:rRNA from 1 species
CCUACGGGAGGCAGCAGUGGGGAAUAUUGCGCAAUGGGCGAAAGCCUGACGCAGCGACGCCGCGUGAGGGAUGAAGGUCUUCGGAUCGUAAACCUCUGUCAGCAGGGAAGAACGGUCACUGUGCUAAUCAGCAGUGAAUUGACGGUACCUGCAAAGGAAGCACCGACUAACUCCGUGCCAGCAGCCGCGGUAAUACGGAGGGUGCGAGCGUUAAUCGGAAUUACUGGGCGUAAAGCGCUCGUAGGCGGUAUGUCAAGUCAAGGGUGAAAUCCCCGCGCUGAACGUGGGAACUGCCUUUGAAACUGGUAAACUGGAGUGUGUGAGAGGAUAGUGGAAUUCCAGGUGUAGGAGUGAAAUGCGUAGAUAUCGGGAGGAACAUCAGUGGCGAAGGCGACUAUCUGGCACAUAACUGACGCUGAGGAGCGAAAGCGUGGGUAGCAAACAGGAUUAGAUACCCUUGUAGUC